UUUAUGGAGAGUUUGAUCCUGGCUCAGGAUGAACGCUGGCGGCGUGCCUAAUACAUGCAAGUCGAGCGAACGGACGAGAAGCUUGCUUCUCUGAUGUUAGCGGCGGACGGGUGAGUAACACGUGGAUAACCUACCUAUAAGACUGGGAUAACUUCGGGAAACCGGAGCUAAUACCGGAUAAUAUUUUGAACCGCAUGGUUCAAAAGUGAAAGACGGUCUUGCUGUCACUUAUAGAUGGAUCCGCGCUGCAUUAGCUAGUUGGUAAGGUAACGGCUUACCAAGGCAACGAUGCAUAGCCGACCUGAGAGGGUGAUCGGCCACACUGGAACUGAGACACGGUCCAGACUCCUACGGGAGGCAGCAGUAGGGAAUCUUCCGCAAUGGGCGAAAGCCUGACGGAGCAACGCCGCGUGAGUGAUGAAGGUCUUCGGAUCGUAAAACUCUGUUAUUAGGGAAGAACAUAUGUGUAAGUAACUGUGCACAUCUUGACGGUACCUAAUCAGAAAGCCACGGCUAACUACGUGCCAGCA
rnacentral:rRNA from 1 species